CUGGAAAAAAAGGAGUAAUUAGAAGAAAAGAUGGAAUAAUCUGAGAGAGGGUGGAGAUUUUUGGAGUCAUCACAUGGUAUGUGGAAUUGAAGCCAAGAACUGUGUGUCCUAAUAAUUUCUUUGCUGUUUUUGCUGAUCUCACAGCAAAUUAAAUGAUUUCUCCAACACAUGGGUCAUACACCCCACUUUACACAGAUUGCAGAUUGAAAGCUGGAAUUUUAAGAAUGUGCUUAGGUUUUGUUGACACGUCUGCUCUUGGGAAUGAAUUCCUAAGCACCAGCCUACACUGGCUCAACAGGCUCAACUCUGCACCAGCAAUUUCUCUUGUCAGGAAAGAAAGCACAAUCAAAAAUAUAAGAAGAGAUUGCUCCUCCUUUUGA
rnacentral:lncRNA from 1 species